rnacentral:tRNA from 1 species
GUUUAAGUAGGUUAAUAAAACUCUUGAAUUGUGGUUUCAAAUAUACAUAUUUAUGUCUUAAACC